UGCGUGAGUUCCAAAUAUUUCUAACGGUCGCCCCAGCGUGAGUUUUUUUAUGCACGUGAUGUUAGAACGUUCUCUCCAUUCCAGAAUGUGAUUGUUAUGUAACAGUACAUUUAACCUGCGCUGCCCUCAAACCAAAGCACGCAGCCUGUUUUAUUUGUCAAUUUUAAAUUAUUUUCUAACAAGUUUUUUAUUUUCUAAUAACAGUUUGAAAUGAUGUGUGUUUCGCCUUAUUCAUUCACAUAAAAGUAGUCAUUUUUACUUUUGCGGACCAAUUAAUUUUUGGGACAUUUCUGACCCGGACAAAAUUCCCCAAACACUUCUCAAUUGUUUGUGCAGGACAUUUACUCAUCUGCCGUCCUGCAUACACGUGUUCAUAUUUUCCACCUGUCGCCUGCAUCGAAAUCAAAGUUGUUUUCGUUACCAAUAAUACCUUUGGUAAUGUGUGCGUUUCUAUCAAAGUGCCUUAAUACGUUAUAAUAGUUUCUGCAUGUCGUGUUAUGUCGUUUCUACUGUAACGUCAUGUUUUUAUGUACAUUCCUUAUAACCGCGGACAGGCGAUGUAACGUUACUCAUUUCAUAACAUUUAUGGUGUUAUACUCAAUGCUUAGGUAUCUAGCUACAUUCUCCUAUUAGCUCUGGAAAACAAUGCUAAUUUCGUCAGGGAAGUAUUAGCAUGUGUUGUAUUUCGAAGCUACCCUGGCCUUAUGACUCCCAAGUGGCACAGCGUCUCAGCGCUAGAAGCGUCACUACAGAGACCCAUCUUCAAAUCAAGACUGCGUUUCUAUCAAAGUGGUCCACCUUCCCUGUGGCCAACAUGGUUGCUGUAUGGACAGUGGAGAGGACUUGGACGUCUCGUUUGUCAUGCCACUUUACUGCCAGCUGUUAACAUUUCUUAUUUUGUAUAACGGGUCAUUUAGGAUGGUAGUAGCGUUGAUGAAAUGCAGUCAUAGCAGCAGAACUAGAAAGCAGUCUUUACUGUCACCAGGAAUGUGUACAUUUCACAAAUUGUGGUUGUCCCCCACUCCUGGCUCUCUCUUCUCCUGUAGCUCCAAGGCAUAGUGAUUGGUCUCUACUAUGUCUCCCACCAGCUCCUCUGUCAGAAACAACUUGAAGCACUCUGCCUCAGUUGGAAAUGGCAAGGGGCGUUGCACUCCAGACUGGGACUCAUCAACACAAUCAGCAGGGCCAGGAGGGAUGAAAUGGCUGGCAGCCUUCCAGCUACCACAGAACUGUACUUCAUCCACUGUCAGCCUGCCACCAUCACCACCAGCAUCUUCAAAGGGACCUGGGACUUCGUCAGUGGACAAGGGAAAUUCAGAUUCAGGGUUCUCAGUGGCUACAAGGUUGGGGGGCAGCUCCUCACUCAGUCAGAAUCUGAUUCCUGACUUUCAUACUCUGACUCAUUGUCAGAAUUUUUAAAAAAUCUCCAUAAUUUCCACAUUUGUUUGUUGUCUCCUUUUGAAAGAUUGCUAAUGCUUCAGCUUAGCUCACUAGCUACAUACAUAAACAACAACACUGAAUGGUUUACAGUGAGAGGGUACGUGGUUGACUGCCGGCACGCGCCACUUGUAUCAAUAAAUCCCUAUCAGAAAAUGUUUCGUGUGGCAAUUAUUUGUGUAUUUACCGUUUUAUUCACAUGUUUUCAAAUCUAGGUGACAAAUCAUGCAUUCCGAUUCUUGCACAGAUUGUAAUGGGCACAUAUGUGUGUAAAAUACUUUUUUGAAGGUUAUACUGAUUAUGAUGAGCUAAGCUAAUUCCAGCUGUGUAGCCAUGUUUGUUGACAUACAAUGCAUUCUGGGUUCACGUAAUCGUCUGUUUGACCAAAGAUGUUAUAACAAAAUGAGGUGAGUAAGAGUUCAUAAAUUGUUUGAGUACUUCCGGAAAUGAAUGGUGGGAUGUGAACGAUGGUAGAUGACACACCCCUUCAACAUGCAUACUGUAACGACCCUGCUGUUUCAUUACAAUACUAUAAACAGACCAAACUCAUCUCGUCUUCUCUUCGGUUUCUGUGAGGAAAAAUGCAUGGCUGCGCGCUGAAACUAAUCAUCGGAUUACUUUCGAUUUCUAUAAAGUUUUUCCUAAUUAUUUCGAUCAAUGGUGAGAACACCCGUGAUGUGAUUAAUUAUACAUAGUAAUUGCUAUUAGCUAAUUCAUAUUGUAGUUUAUGUCAGCCUAGAGUUAGAAAAUAUAACUGCUUGUGUUGGGUCAAUCUUUCCUCAGUUAGCGCUAGGACUAUUGUAGCCUACAUUUUCCCGGUUAGGAUGAUUGUGUUAUGCUAUACUGUAUAUACUUCUGUGAAUGUCUGAACAUUGAAUCCAAAAAAUAAACUGCUCACAUUCUGGACAUAA